GAUGAACGCUAGUGGCGUGCCUAACACAUGCAAGUCGAGCGAUUCUCUUCGGAGAAGAGCGGCGGACGGGUGAGUAAUGCGUGGGUAACCUGCCCUGUACACACGGAUAACAUACCGAAAGGUAUGCUAAUACGAGAUAACAUGCUUUUAUCGCAUGGUAGAAGUAUCAAAGCUUUUGCGGUACAGGAUGGACCCGCGUCUGAUUAGCUAGUUGGUGAGGUAACGGCUCACCAAGGCGACGAUCAGUAGCCGACCUGAGAGGGUGAUCGGCCACAUUGGAACUGAGACACGGUCCAAACUCCUACGGGAGGCAGCAGUGGGGAAUAUUGCACAAUGGGCGAAAGCCUGAUGCAGCAACGCCGCGUGAGCGAUGAAGGCCUUCGGGUCGUAAAGCUCUGUCCUCAAGGAAGAUAAUGACGGUACUUGAGGAGGAAGCCCCGGCUAACUACGUG
rnacentral:rRNA from 1 species